UCCUGGCUCAGAUUGAACGCUAGCGGGAUGCUUUACACAUGCAAGUCGAACGGCAGCGCGGAACUUCGGUUCUGGCGGCGAGUGGCGAACGGGUGAGUAAUAUAUCGGAACGUGCCCAGUAGCGGGGGAUAACUACGCGAAAGCGUGGCUAAUACCGCAUACGCCCUACGGGGGAAAGGGGGGGAUCGCAAGACCUCUCACUAUUGGAGCGGCCGAUAUCAGAUUAGCUAGUUGGUGGGGUAAAGGCCUACCAAGGCAACGAUCUGUAGCUGGUUUGAGAGGACGACCAGCCACACUGGGACUGAGACACGGCCCAGACUCCUACGGGAGGCAGCAGUGGGGAAUUUUGGACAAUGGGGGCAACCCUGAUCCAGCCAUCCCGCGUGUGCGAUGAAGGCCUUCGGGUUGUAAAGCACUUUUGGCAGGGAAGAAACGGCACCGGCUAAUACCGGGUGUCACUGACGGUACCUGCAGAAUAAGCACCGGCUAACUACGUGCCAGCAGCCGCGGUAAUACGUAGGGUGCAAGCGUUAAUCGGAAUUACUGGGCGUAAAGCGUGCGCAGGCGGUUUGGAAAGAAAGAUGUGAAAUCCCAGAGCUUAACUUUGGAACUGCAUUUUUAACUGCCAAGCUAGAGUAUGUCAGAGGGGGGUAGAAUUCCACGUGUAGCAGUGAAAUGCGUAGAGAUGUGGAGGAAUACCGAUGGCGAAGGCAGCCCCCUGGGAUAAUACUGACGCUCAUGCACGAAAGCGUGGGGGAGCAAACAGGAUUAGAUACCCUGGUAGUCCACGCCCUAAACGAUGUCAACUAGCUGUUGGGGCCUUCGGGCCUUAGUAGCGCAGCUAACGCGUGAAGUUGACCGCCUGGGGAGUACGGUCGCAGAUUAAAACUCAAGGAAUUGACGGGACCCGCACAGCGUGGAUGAUGUGGUUAAUUCGAUGCACGCGAAAAUCUACUACCCUUGACAGGUCUGGAUCCUAAAAGAUUGGUAGUGCUCGCAAGAGAACCGAAACAGUGCUGCCAUGGCUGUCGUCAGCUCGUGUCCUGGAAUGUUGGGGUUAGUUCUGAACUAGCGAACUGUCUUUAUUUGCUUCAAAGGCACUCUCAUAGAGACUGUCG
rnacentral:rRNA from 1 species